rnacentral:rRNA from 1 species
GACGAACGCUGGCGGCGUGCUUAACACAUGCAAGUCGAACGAAGAGCGACGGAAGCUUGCUUCUAUCACUCUUAGUGGCGAACGGGUGAGUAACGCGUAAUCAACCUGCCCUUCAGAGGGGGACAACAGUUGGAAACGACUGCUAAUACCGCAUACGAUCUAACCUCGGCAUCGAGGAUAGAUGAAAGGUGGCCUCUACAUGUAAGCUAUCACUGAAGGAGGGGAUUGCGUCUGAUUAGCUAGUUGGAGGGGUAACGGCCCACCAAGGCGAUGAUCAGUAGCCGGUCUGAGAGGAUGAACGGCCACAUUGGGACUGAGACACGGCCCAGACUCCUACGGGAGGCAGCAGUGGGGAAUCUUCCGCAAUGGACGAAAGUCUGACGGAGCAACGCCGCGUGAGUGAUGACGGCCUUCGGGUUGUAAAGCUCUGUUAAUCGGGACGAAAGGCCUUCUUGCGAAUAGUGAGAAGGAUUGACGGUACCGGAAUAGAAAGCCACGGCUAACUACGU